GCAAACAUAGUUUAACCAAAACACUAAGCUGUGGACUUAGAGACAAGAGUAACAAACUCUUUGUGGGCC
rnacentral:tRNA from 1 species